rnacentral:tRNA from 1 species
CGCGGGGUAGAGCUGUUUGGUAGCUCGCAAGGCUCAUAACCUUGAGGUCACGGGUUCAAAUCCUGUCUCCGCAA